CCAGACUCCUACGGGAGGCAGCAGUGAGGAAUAUUGGUCAAUGGCCGAGAGGCUGAACCAGCCAAGUCGCGUGAGGGAUGACGGCCCUACGGGUUGUAAACCUCUUUUGCCGGGGAGCAAAGAGCGGGACGCGUCCCGCCUCGAGAGUACCCGGAGAAAAAGCAUCGGCUAACUACGUGCCAGCAGCCGCGGUAAUACGUAGGGGGCAAGCGUUAUCCGGAAUUAUUGGGCGUAAAGAGUACGUAGGUGGUUUUGUAAGCGCGGGGUGAAAGGCAGUGGCUUAACCAUUGUAAGCCUUGCGAACUGCAAGACUUGAGUGCAGGAGAGGAAAGCGGAAUUCCUAGUGUAGCGGUGAAAUGCUUAGAUAUUAGGAGGAACACCAGUGGCGAAGGCGGCUUUCUGGACUGUAACUGACACUGAGGUACGAAAGCGUGGGGAGCAAACAGGAUUAGAUACCCGCGUA
rnacentral:rRNA from 1 species